CUACGGGAGGCAGCAGUGGGGAAUAUUGGACAAUGGGCGAAAGCCUGAUGCAGCCAUGCCGCGUGUGUGAAGAAGGCCCUAGGGUUGUAAAGCACUUUCAGUGGGGAGAAUAGUGAUUCACCUAAUACGUGAGUUAAUUGAUGUUACCCACAGAAGAAGCACCGGCUAACUCCGUGCCAGCAGCCGCGGUAAUACGGAGGGUGCAAGCGUUAA
rnacentral:rRNA from 1 species